rnacentral:rRNA from 1 species
ACUCCUACGGGAGGCAGCAGUGGGGAAUAUUGCACAAUGGGCGCAAGCCUGAUGCAGCAACGCCGUGUGAGUGAAGAAGGUUUUCGGAUCGUAAAACUCUGUCCUAAGGGAAGAAACAAAUGACGGUACCUUAGGAGGAAGCCCCGGCUAACUACGUGCCAGCAGCCGCGGUAAUACGUAGGGGGCAAGCGUUAUCCGGAAUCACUGGGGCGUAAAGGGUGCGUAGGCGGCUUAGCAAGCCAGGGGUGAAAGGCAUUGGCUCAACCAAUGUAAGCCUUUGGAACUGUUAAGCUUGAGUGCAGGAGAGGUAAGUGGAAUUCCUAGUGUAGAGGUGAAAUUCGUAGAUAUUAGGAGGAACACCAGUGGCGAAGGCGACUUACUGGACUGUAACUGACGCUGAUGCACGAAAGCGUGGGUAGCGAACAGGAUUAGAUACCCUGGUACACAGAG